rnacentral:rRNA from 1 species
UACGAAGGGGGCUAGCGUUGCUCGGAAUCACUGGGCGUAAAGGGCUCGUAGGUGGCCAACUAAGUCAGACGUGAAAUCCCUCGGCUUAACCGGGGAACUGCGUCUGAUACUGGAUGGCUUGAGGUUGGGAGAGGGAUGCGGAAUUCCAGGUGUAGCGGUGAAAUGCGUAGAUAUCAGGAGGAACACCGGUGGCGAAGGCGGCUUUCUGGACAGAUACCGACGCUGAGGCACGAAAGCUAGGGGAGCAAACAGG